UGGUAUGUACGCUUCCCUACCGGAAGUGCUCUGAACUGUGAAGCCUUCCAAAGGAGAUUCCCGUGACCCAAGUGGACUCAGAGUCUCACAAUUUGCACAGUUUUUUCAGUGCGGCGUAGGCGAGUGUCACACAAGUGUACGAAGAAGUGAAACCGUGUUACCAUGUCACAUGACCACAGACCAAAACAACACUCCAUGGACCAACGACCACAAAAACAACAACUGAAAGCUUGUGUUUUACUUCUCACAGCUGUAUUUGUGAUGGAACUAUAAUCUUUAAAUAGUACUUUUAAUGUUAAGG